rnacentral:rRNA from 1 species
AGUGAACGCUGGCGGUAGACCUAACACAUGCAAGUCGAACGGCAGCACAGUAAGAGCUUGCUCUUACGGGUGGCGAGUGGCGGACGGGUGAGGAAUACAUCGGAAUCUACUUUUUCGUGGGGGAUAACGUAGGGAAACUUACGCUAAUACCGCAUACGACCUACGGGUGAAAGCAGGGGAUCUUCGGACCUUGCGCGAUUGAAUGAGCCGAUGUCGGAUUAGCUAGUUGGCGGGGUAAAGGCCCACCAAGGCGACGAUCCGUAGCUGGUCUGAGAGGAUGAUCAGCCACACUGGAACUGAGACACGGUCCAGACUCCUACGGGAGGCAGCAGUGGGGAAUAUUGGACAAUGGGCGCAAGCCUGAUCCAGCCAUACCGCGUGGGUGAAGAAGGCCUUCGGGUUGUAAAGCCCUUUUGUUGGGAAAGAAAAGCAGCGGGUUAAUACCCCGCUGUUCUGACGGUACCCAAAGAAUAAGCACCGGCUAACUUCGUG